AGUGAACGCUGGCGGCAGGCCUGACACAUGCAAGUCGAACGGCAGCACGGCAGUAGCAAUACUGUGGGUGGCGAGUGGCGGACGGGUGAGGAAUACAUCGGGAUCUACCCUGUUGUGGGGGAUAACGUAGGGAAACUUACGCUAAUACCGCAUAAGAACUGAGGUUGAAAGCGGCGGACCGCAAGGCGUCGCGCGAUUGGAUGAACCGAUGUCCGAUUAGCUAGUUGGCGGGGUAAAGGCCCACCAAGGCGACGAUCGGUAGCUGGUCUGAGAGGACGACCAGCCACACUGGAACUGAGACACGGUCCAGACUCCUACGGGAGGCAGCAGUGGGGAAUAUUGGACAAUGGGCGCAAGCCUGAUCCAGCCAUGCCGCGUGGGUGAAGAAGGGCCUUCGGGUUGUUAAAGACCCUUUUGUCCGGAAAGAAAAGACAUUCGGUUAAUACCCAGGUGUUC
rnacentral:rRNA from 1 species